rnacentral:rRNA from 1 species
ACGUACACUCCUGCGGGAGGCAGCAGUGAGGAAUAUUGGACAAUGGGUGGAAGCCUGAUCCAGCCAUCCCGCGUGCAGGAAGACGGCCCUAUGGGUUGUAAACUGCUUUUAUCUGGGGAUAAACCUACUUACGUGUAAGUAGCUGAAGGUACCAGAAGAAUAAGCACCGGCUAACUCCGUGCCAGCAGCCGCGGUAAUACGGAGGGUGCAAGCGUUAUCCGGAUUUAUUGGGUUUAAAGGGUCCGUAGGCGGACUGAUAAGUCAGUGGUGAAAUCCGACAGCUUAACUGUCGAACUGCCAUUGAUACUGUUAGUCUUGAGUAAGGUUGAAGUGGCUGGAAUAAGUAGUGUAGCGGUGAAAUGCAUAGAUAUUACUUAGAACACCAAUUGCGAAGGCAGGUCACUAAGUCUUAACUGACGCUGAUGGACGAAAGCGUGGGGAGCGAACAGGAUUAGAAACCCCGGUAGUCCC